GGCCGGUUGGUGUAGUUGGUUAUCACGUAUCGUUAACAAGUGGCUUUAAGUCAUUUGGAAAACAAGAAAAUCCGAUAAGGUCCUGAGUUCGAGUCUCAGACUGGUCA